rnacentral:lncRNA from 1 species
AAAGAGCUGAACAAGAUGAUCUUUUAAAAAGGAUGCUGAAUGAAUCAAUCACAUUUCAUUUCUGGAAUGGCAUGACAUCUGCUUUGGUUCCUGAACCUAACAGUCUUAUGGAGAGGCUUCUAAAUCAGUACUGUCUCCAUUGUCUUGAUGUGUUGUGAUUUUGCAUGGGUGAUCCGACCUUCCAAACAUCCCUGAACCUAACAGUCUUAUGGAGAGGCUUCUAAAUCAGUACUGUCUCCAUUGUCUUGAUGUGUUGUGAUUUUGCAUGGGUGAUCCGACCAUCCAAACAUCGUGUUUUCCAUUGAAGGAAUGACCUCUUGGUAUGCCCAAGAAACGGGAUGGUGCAAGGGUGCUGAAGUGAAAAUUCAGGACUUGUAAGCAGAAAUCAAAGAGGAGCUGCCUUCAGCUAUGUUGGUCAACUU